GGACCUGCAGGCGUUCAGUGUGUGCGAGGAGGCAGGGGAGGGCGGUCACGUCUCGCUCUCCACGCAUGCACCAGGCUCUCCACGGGUUAGCCGGUACCAUUUCUGGCACCACGUUAUUGUCUAGAUAUCAUGGCCAGGAAGUCCCUCGCUGAUGAGGAGAUUGAAAGCUUUAUAUUUCAAUCCGACGAUGAGGCAAGUGAUAAUGAGACCCCAAAUGAACAGGAAGAUGAGGUAGACAGCGUGGAUGACAACUUGAUCGACGUCCACGACUCUGUAACAUCACCACCAUCAGCGUCCCUCUCUCCACCACCACCCACUACCUCUCACUUGCCUGCCUUUCCUGCCACAUCUACCACUAGGCAUGUGAACAGUAUAGAUGACCCAGGCAACCUCCUCCCAUCUUCUACCCCAAUUACUACAUCAGGCCAAGAAAACUUGAGUCCUACAGAACUCAAAUGUCGGAAGAGAAAACGGGGCCCACUGCUCCCUGCCGCAGGAGAGGCAAUACAUGAAUUAGAUGUCGAUAGAAUCACAGAUUAGAGCAUGUGCCGUAACAAAGACAGAGGGGUAGGGGCCUGCAUGUGAAGAGGGACACUCUUCCUCUUCGCUAUCGACAGAAAUGCAGGUCUCCAGCACUCCUUAUUCUUAUUCUCAGG